GGAUGUGAGGGUGAUCUGGCUGUGACAGCUGUCGCCAGGGUUCAUCUGGCUGAUCUGGCUGGCUAGGCGGUGUCCCCUUCCUCCCUCACCGCUCUGCUCCAUGAGAGUCCCUUCUGAAGCCCCCCAUGAAGAGGAUGACCUUCCCGGAACAGAGGAAGACAGACCGGUCUUCAGCCCAGAGUAUAUGAGCAGCUGCACUCCCCUGCUCAAACGUCCAGACAAGCUCUCGAGUGCCGCUUCUUUCACUCCUCGGUUUCAUUCACCCCCGACAAAGAACAUCCCAUGAGUAACAGGACAUG
rnacentral:snRNA from 1 species